rnacentral:rRNA from 1 species
UACGGGGGGGGCAAGCGUUGUUCGGAAUUACUGGGCGUAAAGCGUGCGCAGGCGGCUUUGCAAGACAGAUGUGAAAUCCCCGGGCUUAACCUGGGAACUGCAUUUGUGACUGCAUGGCUGGAGUGCGGCAGAGGGGGAUGGAAUUCCGCGUGUAGCAGUGAAAUGCGUAGAUAUCUGGAGGAACACCGGUGGCGAAGGCGGCAUCCUGGACCAACACUGACGCUGAGGAGCGAAAGCCAGGGGAGCAAACGGG